rnacentral:rRNA from 1 species
GGCCCAAAGAGCAGUUAAAGAAAACAAUUAAUAAAAUUAAAAUAUUGCCCAGCCGUCAUACGCAUAAACAAAUAAUAAAUUCAUAUACAAAAGUUAUUUUAGUACCCUUGAACCCACUACAGUUGAGAAACAAACUGGGAUUAGAUACCCCACUAUGCUCAAUUAUAAACUUUGGAUACACCCGCCAGAGCACUACGAGCUUUAGCUUAAAACUCAAAGGACUUGGCGGUGCUUUAUACCCCCUAGAGGAGCCUGUUCUAUAAUCGAUAACCCCCGAUCAACCUCACCGUCACUCGCUAGUACAGCCUAUAUACCACCGCCCCCAGCUAACCCUUUAAAGGAGUAAUAGUCAGCAUAAUAAAUUAAAAUUUAAAAGUCAGGUCAAGGUGUAGCAUAUGCAACGGGAAGAAAUGGGCUACAUUUUUUUUUUUAAAAAUACGGAACAACCAAUGAAACUAAAUGCAAAGGCGGAUUUAGAAGUAAAAAGAAAAAGAAUUUUCUUUUAAAAUGGGUAAUAAAACACGCACACACCGCCCGUCACCCUCAUCAAACUAUAAUUUCUUUAAAUAAAUUAUUAAUAGUUGAAGAAGAGGAAAGUCGUAACAUGGUAAGCCUACCGGAAGGUGGUCUUGGAUAU